UACGUAGGGUGCGAGCGUUAAUCGGAAUUACUGGGCGUAAAGCGUGCGCAGGCGGUUUGUAAGCCAGAUGUGAAAUCCCCGGGCUUAACCUGGGAACUGCAUCCGAUACUGGAUGGCUUGAAUUCGGGAGAGGGAUGCAGAAUUCCAGGUGUAGCGGUGAAAUGCGUAGAUAUCGGAGGAAUACCGGUGGCGAAGGCGGCGAUCCUGGACCGACAUUGACGCUGAACGGCGAA
rnacentral:rRNA from 1 species